ACACGUAGGGGCCUGACGUUGUUCGGAAUCAUUGGGCGUAAAGGGCGCGCAGGCGGCCGUCCAAGUCCGGUGUUAAAUGGUCGGGCUCAACCCGAUCAUGCGCUGGAAACUGGGCGGCUGGAGUCCCGGAGGGGAUGCCGGAAUUCCAGGUGUAGGGGUGAAAUCUGUAGAUAUCUGGAAGAACACCGAUGGCGAAGGCAGGCAUCUGGCCGGAGACUGACGCUGAGGCGCGAAGGCGCGGGGAGCGAACAGGUUUAGAUACCCUGGUAGUCCGCGCAGUAAACGAUGCGCACCAGGUGUCGGGCGGCAGCGCCCGGUACCGGAGCAAACGCGAUGAGUGCGCCGCCUGGGGAGUACGGUCGCAAGGCUGAAACUCAAAGGAAUUGGCGGGG
rnacentral:rRNA from 1 species